rnacentral:tRNA from 1 species
CGGGCCGUAGCUCAGCUUGGUAGAGCACUAAUAGAGGGGUGUUCUCCGAAUCGACCUUCCAAUCGACAGGAGAUUGUUCCUUUAUUACACGCCGUCGGUUCGAAUCCGGCCGGCCCGA